rnacentral:sRNA from 1 species
UCAGAGUAUACCAGGGCACGCUUACAUUUCUCAAACAGCUGGGCGCGUGACUUUCAGCAUUGUCACUACCUACCAUGCCCCUUUGAAAUCUCAGGCCCAGUUCCCCAUGGCAGCAGCCAGGGAGCUGCACUGGAGGGUGUCUCAGGCCUGAGCCCCACACUGGCUGAGGCGUCCCCAGGGUCCUGACCGGCUGUCUGCUUCCCUCCUCAGAGGUGGCUGAUGGCCUGUGCUGUGUGCUCACCACGCCCUGCCUGACACAAAGCACGGCUGCUCCAGCCGUGAGGGCCUCCAGCUCACCUGUCACCUUGCGUCAGAAGACUGUGGACUGGAGGAGAGUGUCCAGACUGCAGGAGGACCCCGAGGGAACAGAGAACCCGCUUGGGGUAGACGAGUCCCUUUUCAGCUAUGGCCUUCGAGAGAGCAUUGCCUCUUACCUGUCCCUGACCAGUGAGGACAACACCUCCUUUGAUCGAAAGAAGAAAAGCGUCUCCCUGAUGUACGGUGGCAGCAAGAGAAAGAGCUCAUUCUUCUCAUCACCACCUUACUUUGAGGACUAGCCAAGAACAGACACAAUGGUUCAUGCCCAAAAGGAACAGAAGUUCCAACUAUUGCCUGGGAUCUUGCGAAAAGCGAGGUUCCCUAAUCCCCGGGAACCUCACGUAUUUUAGAAGCCAAGAGAAGACACAUGGAGACUGAAAUUCGCAUCUUCUCUAUCCACAUCGUGACCAAAGGAAACCCUCCCUGGUGUCUGAUCAGGGCUGUGGCAUCACGAAACAUUGGAUCAUGACAUGUCGGGCAAUGCUUGGAAGAGCCCAGCAUGU